rnacentral:lncRNA from 1 species
AUGUUCAGCUGUGAUUACUCCUUUGCAGUGCUCAGGCUGGACCUACACGUGGACAAGCUGCUGAACUGCAGAAAACAUUGCUGCCUUGUUACCAAGAAUGUGGUUGGCUUCACGUACCAUCUUUCUUGGAAGCCUAUUGUCCAACUGUGGGAAGAAGAAAGGAAUUUCUUGGGAGUUGCUCCCCAGGGAGAGAUGGAACUAAUCCACCUCCGCUGUUCUUGCAGAGUGUGCUGUUGUGAACAAAACAAGUUCUUGUUUAAACCAGAGACUAAAACAAGUUGCCAGAAGAAGUGUGACAAAGAACAUAUGUGUGUUAACAUUUUUCUUUGCUAGAAGAAAACACACAAGAUCUUUUUCAUUAGUGAAACAAAGUCAGAUUGCCAAGGUGAAAUAAUUCUGUGGGCAGUUCAGAAGCAGACAGCUACAGUUUAUGAAGAUCUUUGCCAACGUUAGAGACUAGAAUUGGAUAUCCAUGGCAGUCACUUUCAAUUCUGUCUCACAGUUGAGAAUAUUGCUUGAAAAAUAGGUAGAUAUUCCAGUCUCCCUCUCCCUCUUCCCUUUCCCACUUCAUUUUUAGUCAGUGUAUGUUUUAGUUACCUUAAUGUUUUGUAAAUGCCUCAAAAACAUAUUUUUUUUGAGUACUAAAUGUAUUACAAGAAAAUCAGCCAAAUUAUCCAGAAUGAAAAGUAAAGCUGAAAUUUAAAAUUCUUCACAUAGCCUUAAAAAUCUGCUCACUGAUUUUUUAUUGAGUAUGUUGCUAUAUUGGGGAAUUUGCCUGCCAAAAGGGAUGGUUAAUGUUCUUUGGUUCCAUUUUUUCAGUAAUAGUCUAUAAUUCUAAGAUUGUCUGCAAAUUAACCUUGCAGAUAUCUGAAUUGAAUACAGUCCAUAGUUUGAAGAAUAAAUGUGGUAGGAACCCUUCA